GAUGAACGCUAGCGGCAGGCCUAACACAUGCAAGUCGAGGGAGAGGUUACCUUCGGGUACCCAAAACCGGCGCACGGGUGCGUAACGCGUAUACAAUCUGCCUUUCACAUAGGGAUAGCCCGAAGAAAUUUGGAUUAAUACCUAAUGGUAUAUAAGAGCGGCAUCGUUUUUAUAUUAAAGCUACGGUGGUGAAAGAUGAGUAUGCGUUCUAUUAGCUAGUUGGAGAGGUAACGGCUCCCCAAGGCGACGAUAGAUAGGGGUUCUGAGAGGGAUGUCCCCCACACGGGUACUGAGAUACGGACCAGACUCCUACGGGAGGCAGCAGUGAGGAAUAUUGGACAAUGGUCGGAAGACUGAUCCAGCCAUGCCGCGUGCAGGAUGAAGGUCCUAUGGAUUGUAAACUGCUUUUGUAAGGGAAGAAUAAGGAGUACGUGUACUUUGAUGACGGUACCUUACGAAUAAGCAUCGGCUAACUCCGUG
rnacentral:rRNA from 1 species